UACAGAGGUCUCAAGCGUUGUUCGGAAUCACUGGGCGUAAAGGGCGCGUAGGCGGCGUGGUAAGUCGGGUGUGAAAUCCCGGAGCUUAACUCCGGAACUGCAUUCGAUACUGCCGUGCUUGAGGACUGGAGAGGAGAGUGGAAUUUACGGUGUAGCGGUGAAAUGCGUAGAUAUCGUAAGGAACACCAGUGGCGAAGGCGGGUCUCUGGACAGUUCCUGACGCUGAGGCGCGAAAGCGUGGGGAGCAAACGGG
rnacentral:rRNA from 1 species